CUGGCUUCUCUUCAGAUUCUAUAAUUUUUUUGCCUUUUACUAAAGAUUUCCCUGAGGAGGAACAAUUCUAAUCCAAUUUUUGAGGCCUUGUGAAUUUCUCUAAAAU
rnacentral:snRNA from 1 species